GCCUUCGUAUUGUAAAUGGAAACAAGUUCGGCUUACAGUCGGAAGAUCCGGAGUUUGAAUCUCGGCAAGAGUG
rnacentral:tRNA from 1 species